CCGUCAACUAUAUCUGUCCCUCGGGAAACUCAAACCCAAAUACCAAUAGUUCCUAUUGUUACUGUCGUGUUGACAGCGAUGAGCUCUCACGGAUUUCCGACUUACGUUCUCACUUUCAUUUUACCAUAUCAAUCCAUGGAAGAAACAUUUAUUCAUCAUGAUGAAAUGAGCAAGUUAUACAGCAGCAUCAACAAAGGUCGUAUUUCCGUGCUUGCCGGAAACCUCGAAACCGACUUGGUUGGAGCUACGUGGGUUACGUCCUCCUGAAGCUGCGAUCGGCGGCUGGACUAUCGCUUUCCGAAUCUUAUUCGGUUACAUAUUUCCCUGACUGAAGAUGAUGAGCUGGGUUUGGACGUGGAUGCACCGCUGGACAACGGACGCGUUUUACAGUCUGAGGAGAAAACGACAGGUGAGGCUGGAACCGUGGACCAACGAAUGCUGUCUCAUUGGACCGUUUCCUACCUUUCCAGCAGAUGAGAGGGCCUUUGCACAAAGUACCCUGAGAGUUCUUUACCAGAUUACCACCAAAAGAUGGCCUCGUGUGUGGGGUAUUACCUUCCGUUGUGCAGCAGCCAUCCGGCACGGGAGUCUGCAAGUAGGGCAGCGGGGGGCUGUUACUGCCCGAGUCAUCGUCCUCCUCCAGUUCUUCCGGUUCGUUGGACGAGUGGCUGUUGGUCAGCAGCUCGUGGCCGGGCAGCUCGCCACCUUGGAGGUCCACUUUGGGUUUGACAUCUAAUGGAGGGUUAUUAUCAGCAUAUUAGAUUAUUAAUUUUCAGGUCUUGAGAGGGUACCCCACUGACUGACCAUCCAUGUUGGCUUGAAAGGGCUCUGGCUUCAGGUAGAGUUGCGUGAAGAUGGGCUGCGGAUCUCCACUGCUGGAGCGCAGCGAUGCCUCGAUGGAGUUGUGAAGUGCCUCUUCAAAGCGAGCGGACUUUAGCUGCCCGGCGUAGGAAUUCCCCAUAAUCUGGGCAAAGGAUAAAACAAGUUUGAUUUACAGUCGUGUGAAAAAUUAGGACAUCCUAUGUGUCAAUCGGAAACUAUCAGUCAGAACGAACCAAAUUCACGUGUGGAGUCCCUCAAGGGUCAUUUCUCGGACCACUCUUAUUUAACAUCUAUAUGCUUCCGUUAGCUCAGAUAAUGGAACAGUAUGACAUCUCCUAUCACGCCUAUGCAGAUGACACUCAACUGUACAUUUCUGUGUCCCCACAUGAUUAUAGCCCCUUAGUCUCCCUGAGUAAAUGCAUUCAUCAAAUCAAUGAAUGGAUGUGCCAGAAUUUUCUCCAGUUAAAUAUGGAGAGGACAGAGGUGAUCAUUUUUGGGCCAAAAAAGGAAAGGUCAAAGAUAAGCAGGCAACUUAGCACAGUGUCACUUAAGCUACAAAUCAAGUCAGAAACCAUGGCGUAAUUAUUGAUUCAGACCUAAAAUUUGAUAGCCAUCUAAAGUCGGUCACUAAAUCCAGUUAUUACCAGCUAAAAAAAUAUAACCAGGAUUAAGGGGCUUCUGACUCAACAAGACAUGGAAAAACUUAUGCAUGCAUUCAUUUUCACCAGAUUGGACUAUUGCAACGGUAUAUUUACAGGUCUUGAUAAAAAAUCAGUCAGGAAGCUGCAGCUAGUACAGAAUGCUGCAGCCAGAGUCCUCACAAAUACAAGGAAGCUGGACCACAUUACACCGGUUUUGAAAUCGCUACACUGGCUUCCAGUGAGUCAAAGGAUAGACUAUAAAAUACUACUGCUCGUCUACAAAACACUUAAUGGCCUUGGACCAAAAUACAUGCUUGACCUGUUAGAUUCCCAUGAGACAUCUAGACCCCUAAGGUCAUCUGGAACUGGUCUUCUGCAUGUUCCAAGAACAAGAACAAAGCAGGGUGAGGCAGCAUUUAGUUAUUAUGCUCCUCACCUCUGGAACAAGUUACCUCAACGUCUGAAGUAUGCUCAAACUGUUAGCUCUUUUAAAUCAGGGCUAAAAACGCUUUUGUUUAGCGCUGUAUAUCCAUAACUGGCUAUAUAUUUCAAUCUACCUGCUUUCUAUUCCUCUUGUGCUUAUCUCCAUUGCUGAUUUCAAUUAUUAUUAGUAGUAGUAGUUUUUGUUUUAUUUUUAUUUCUGUUUUAUUUUUAUUCUAUUUGUGAUUAAAUGCGAUCUUUUGUCUUGGUUUUUAUGUUGUAUUGAUUUAAAUGUGAUUUUUAUGAUCUUCAUGUGAUGUAAAGCACUUUGAAUUGCCUUGUGUUGAAUUGUGCUAUAUAAAGAAAUUUGCCUUGCCUUGCCUAUGGAAGACUGUUUGUUUUUCUAACAUAUUUGGUUAUAUGGCUAUU